UUUUCCUUUUCCUGAGAUGUACGAGGCUAUCCGCUGAUUUAAGCAUAUAACUAAGCGGCAGACAAGAAAAUAACCAUGAUUCCCCU
rnacentral:rRNA from 1 species